rnacentral:tRNA from 1 species
UCCUUUCUGGAGAUCUGAGAGCGACAUAGAGAUGAGUAAGCAAGUCUUACUACUAACAUCAUAUGUCAUGCUACUUGGAAACCUUGGUUUACGGUCCGCUAUCGAUCUUGAUAUUCAAAACUUAUUGCAAGGCUAAAGCAAAAGGCUAAAAGCCAAAAGCUAUAGGCCAGGAGAAUCGACCGGCAUCACCGGUUACAGGCAUAGAGGCUUUAAGCUUUAAACUUUAAACUUUUUAAGCUUCAAAGAANAGGGCUUGUAGCUCAGGUGGUUAGAGCGCUACACUGAUAAUGUAGAGGUCCGUGGUUCGAGUCCACGCAGGCCCACGAAGUGGAACUAAGUUGGACGAGAAUUUUAUGCUGACCGAGCGGANGGAGCGUUCAGUAAUCCACGCAGGCCCACAAUUACCUGAACUUCCAGCGAAAGCGUACGAUUGCAACCGAAUUANAUUUAGAAAGAAGGUUCGCCUUCCCCUAAAGCUUACAGACGGACNAGGGGGAAUUAGCUCACCUGGCUAGAGCGCCUGCUUUGCAAGCANGAGGUCAUCGGUUCGACUCCGAUAUUCUCCACAGAAGGAGUAAAGAGUAUUGAGAUGUUAGAAUUGAGAAUCAAAGCUUCAGAGAAGGGAAAAAAUAUCAGUCAAACGAGAUUGAUAAAACUUGAAAAGUUGAUAAUGAGUAGCAGGCAUAGUAGUCUGUCCCGGGUAAAAAGGGAUUGGACAGUUGACUAUGGACUGAAAUACUGGCAUUGAUGGAUGCACGGGUUAAUACUUGGGAGAGCCGUCCUGAGAUUGGCAGGUGCUGUAAACCGUCAAAAAGUUCAUUGACAUAUUGAUGAAAGAGUAGUAAAAGUAGGUGUAGAGAGUAGGAAUACUUUCUGCAUCGAUAAAAGUAAAAAGAGCAUGAUGUGCCAUGGGGCGCAUCAUGAAACGAGCGCAUAGGUGAGAUUGGUUUUCUUCGUGAGAAGGAGAUACAAUCAAUCGAAAGAGAAGUAAGAAAGGGCGUAUGG